UGGGGAAUUUUGGACAAUGGGCGCAAGCCUGAUCCAGCAAUGCCGCGUGAGUGAAGAAGGCCUUCGGGUUGUAAAGCUCUUUUGUCAGGGAAGAAACGGUGGGAGCUAAUAUCUCCUACUAAUGACGGUACCUGAAGAAUAAGCACCGGCUAACUACGUGC
rnacentral:rRNA from 1 species